rnacentral:rRNA from 1 species
GACGAACGCUGGCGGCGUGCUUAACACAUGCAAGUCGAACGGAAAGGCCCUGCUUGCAGGGUACUCGAGUGGCGAACGGGUGAGUAACACGUGGGUGAUCUGCCCUGCACUUCGGGAUAAGCCUGGGAAACUGGGUCUAAUACCGGAUAGGAGCCAUUUUUAGUGUGAUGGUUGGAAAGUUUUUUCGGUGUAGGAUGAGCUCUCGGCCUAUCAGCUUGUUGGUUGGGUAAUGGCCUACCAAGGCGGCGACGGGUAGCCGGCCUGAGAGGGUGGACGGCCACAUUGGGACUGAGAUACGGCCCAGACUCCUACGGGAGGCAGCAGUGGGAAAUAUUGCACAAUGGGCGCAAGCCUGAUGCAGCGACGCCGCGUGGGGGAUGACGGCCUUCGGGUUGUAAACUCCUUUCGCUAGGGACGAAGCUUUUGUGACGGUACCUAGAUAAGAAGCACCGGCUAACUACGUG